AUAUACACCUAAAAAAAAAGUUGAGAAAAAUCACGUAAUUGACUUCAUAAAGCUUGUGUUAGCACUUGAAGCUCUGUGCGCCUUACCCGCUCCGGCUCCCCCGUCAUGGCCUUGCUGGUAAGGGUGGCCUGUCCCUCUGCUCUAUGUGGUUUAGGACUCAGCGAAUGCUCUCUACACCAAAUGCCUCCAGCAGCUUCUGAGGGACUCUCACCUGAAAAUGCUCGCCAAGCAGGAGGCCCAGAUGAACCUGAUGAAGCAGGCAGUGGAGAUAUACGUCCAUCAUGAAAUUUACAACCUGAUCUUUAAAUACGUGGGGACCAUGGAGGCAAGUGAGGUAGGUUCUCAGUUAUUAUCACCCAAGAUGGAAGCCUUCUUCUGUGCUUUUUGAGAAAUUUGAAGGUUCGUUAAAAUCUGUUGUUAGGAUGCGGCCUUUAACAAAAUCACAAGAAGCCUUCAAGAUCUUCAGCAGAAAGAUAUUGGUGUGAAACCGGAGUUCAGGUAAGGGUUUGCGCCACAGCGGCUUGGUGUCCUCAGAGGCAGGGGUGCUGUCUUCUCCCG
rnacentral:lncRNA from 1 species